AGGACGUGGGGACUGCAAGAAAGGACAAAGACCACCUACAGAACUAAGCCAAACUCAGCAAGAACCUAACGAAAUUAGCAUCGAAUUUCAAUGUGAAGGUGAUGAUCGACACGCCGAAAGGAUGAAUUUCAACUAUACCAGCCAGAAUAUAGCAUGAGCUUAAAGUAUGGCAACUUGGUAUGAACUUUGAACUCUUAUUCACUAAAGAAGUGAUACCUCCUAGCCGUUGCAUUAGCGCAGAAACUGUAGAUGUGGGCUAGGAGAGGACGGACAGAGUAUCUGUUCUACCACAGGACGACGGUACUACCAAGUAUUCGUUCUACCACCAGACAUUCUUCAAAGGACAACCCAGCCUUCCAUUUACGACCAACCGUACGAAGCGCUGCUCAGAGUAAAUAUUUAUUGAAUUUUCCUUUUCCAAAUGGGCGGUUAUUUAGAAUGCAUAAGAUUCUGUAUUUACGAUAGCAUAGCUUCUCCCUUUGUUACUUAGUCUUCCCGCUCUUUCACUCAAGCCCAACCCUCUCUUUGUGUAACCAGCUGUCAUAUCUGUUCCGUCCGCUAAGGACGUUUUCCUUUAUGACAUAAUUUGUAAUCAAUGUAUGAUACAUUCUGUGUAUAUGUAAUUCUGUGUGAUUAUUUAGGUAUUUUGUAAAUAAAUGUAACGCCCUGGCCAUAGAGAGGGGUUUUUGUUCUUUAUUUCGGUUAGGCCAGGGUGUUACAUUGGGUGGGCGUUCUAUGUUCCUUUUUCUAUGUUUUUGUAUUUCUUUGUUUUGGGCCGUGUGUGGCUCCCAAUCAGGCACAGCUGAAGUUCGUUGUUGAUUGGGAGUCACACAUAAGGAGCAUGUUUUUCCUUUGGGUUUUGUGGGUAAUUGUUUCUGUUGAGUGUUUUGCACCUGACAGGACUGUUUGGCAGUCAGUUUUCUUGUUUUUGUAUAGUGUUCACGUUGUUCAAUUAAAAUCAUGAUGAACACUAACUCCGCUGCGCCUUGGUCUACUUUUUCUCCCGACAGCCCUUUCAAUAAAUAAUUAAAC
rnacentral:lncRNA from 1 species